rnacentral:rRNA from 1 species
GGUUAAGCGACUAAGCGUACACGGUGGAUGCCCUGGCAGUCAGAGGCGAUGAAGGACGUGCUAAUCUGCGAUAAGCGUCGGUAAGGUGAUAUGAACCGUUAUAACCGGCGAUUUCCGAAUGGGGAAACCCAGUGUGAUUCGUCACACUAUCAUUAACUGAAUCCAUAGGUUAAUGAGGCGAACCGGGGGAACUGAAACAUCUAAGUACCCCGAGGAAAAGAAAUCAACCGAGAUUCCCCCAGUAGCGGCGAGCGAACGGGGAGGAGCCCAGAGCCUGAAUCAGUGUGUGUGUUAGUGGAAGCGUCUGGAAAGGCGCGCGAUACAGGGUGACAGCCCCGUACACAAAAAUGCACAUAUUGUGAGCUCGAUGAGUAGGGCGGGACACGUGGUAUCCUGUCUGAAUAUGGGGGGACCAUCCUCCAAGGCUAAAUACUCCUGACUGACCGAUAGUGAACCAGUACCGUGAGGGAAAGGCGAAAAGAACCCCGGCGAGGGGAGUGAAAAAGAACCUGAAACCGUGUACGUACAAGCAGUGGGAGCACGCUUCGGCGUGUGACUGCGUACCUUUUGUAUAAUGGGUCAGCGACUUAUAUUCUGUAGCAAGGUUAACCGAAUAGGGGAGCCGAAGGGAAACCGAGUCUUAACUGGGCGUUAAGUUGCAGGGUAUAGACCCGAAACCCGGUGAUCUAGCCAUGGGCAGGUUGAAGGUUGGGUAACACUAACUGGAGGACCGAACCGACUAAUGUUGAAAAAUUAGCGGAUGACUUGUGGCUGGGGGUGAAAGGCCAAUCAAACCGGGAGAUAGCUGGUUCUCCCCGAAAGCUAUUUAGGUAGCGCCUCGUGAAUUCAUCUCCGGGGGUAGAGCACUGUUUCGGCAAGGGGGUCAUCCCGACUUACCAACCCGAUGCAAACUGCGAAUACCGGAGAAUGUUAUCACGGGAGACACACGGCGGGUGCUAACGUCCGUCGUGAAGAGGGAAACAACCCAGACCGCCAGCUAAGGUCCCAAAGUCAUGGUUAAGUGGGAAACGAUGUGGGAAGGCCCAGACAGCCAGGAUGUUGGCUUAGAAGCAGCCAUCAUUUAAAGAAAGCGUAAUAGCUCACUGGUCGAGUCGGCCUGCGCGGAAGAUGUAACGGGGCUAAACCAUGCACCGAAGCUGCGGCAGCGACGCU